CCUGGGGGAGCAGGGCAGGAGAGGGAACCCCCAAGGGGCCGGAUUAGCCACCCCCCGCCCCGUGGUGGGAGCAAGGUGAGAGAGAGGUGUCCGGCGGUGGCGUCACUGCUCUCAGCCUCCUGGGGUGCCCGCUGGGAGGGCAGGCCUGAAGAUCUGAAAAUGAUUCACAAGUCCUGAAAGGACUUCUGAGCCGACCUUCCACCUUGGCGAAGGCAGCAACUCUGGCUAAAUGGUUUUCAGUCUCCGAAGCGGACCUCAGAGCAAGUCUGGCCUGAGGCACACACCCACCAUCCUGGUCUCCCACCCUGCCUUCUGCCUCUGGAGCUGACCCAGCGCAGCAUCCGAGGGUUCUGCCAAACCCCAUGGACCAGGCACACCGAGCCCCGCCCACCGCGAACAUCCCCACCCUGAAAACUGCGGGCCGCCCCUGCCACCUAACGUCCGGCUGCUGAGGAUGCUGGGAGCUGAGCUGGCAGGGCGAGAGAGGAUGAUGCGUGGUUGACCUUGAAUGACACUGGGCUGAGAAGCACGCAACCCCCUGCGCAGCUGAAAUCCGCUGGGUGCUGGUGGAGGGCGCAGAGGACCCAGAAUGGCCGGCGGGGGAGGGAGAUGACCACCGACAACAGCCUCGGAACCGGCCACAGCAGCACCAGAGGAGCCUGCUCCACAGCCUUCUUGCGUCAGUCUCCCAGGCGACCCCAGCAGGCCACCGGAACGAGGACCCUGUCACUGACUGGACUUGCUAUGUCCCCUCCUGGGGAACGGGUCACGGUGUCUUUGGAGGAUGGUGGACCCUCCAUCGAAGUGGGAAGGCUCACACCGUUGGAAGCACGACUGGACCAGAGUAGCGCAAGGUGUGGAGUGUCCUGGACACAAACCUUGUGCAUUUUCUCCAGUUCCCCUGACUGCCUCCCCCUCUGUCUCUGGGUCAGUGCUUCCUCCUCGUCCAGCUGUCCCUCUGCUUAUGGACUUUCGUAAAAUGACAACGGGAAUCGGGAAAUGGGGGCGAACGGGGCAGAUACAACCUCCCUCCCCUUGUGCCUCUGCCGACUGCUUGGCAGCACGUUUUCUCUUCACAUAUACUCUGGAGGAGUCCGUGCACCAGGCCCACUGUGUCUGCCGCUCAAGGUGAAGCGACAUCCAGCAAAGGAAGCGCACUGCAUCAUCGCCUCUGCCCUUCCACUGCCCGAUUCCGCCUCACGGCCCCAUGAUUGCACCUCUCAAAGUGUUCACUCUUUACUCUUUCUUGCCUUGGACUAUGCUUGCUGGGGAAUUUUCACAAAAUAUGUCCACGGGCAAGAAAAACAAAAAAAGGACAGGCAGCAAAUUUCAACCCAGACAUAUACAAAGACAAAAGCUGGGACGUCUCUGGCGGUCCAGUGGUGAAGAAUCCACCGUGCAAUGCACGGGACAUGGGUUCCAUGCCUGGUCAGGAAACUAAG